AACGAACGCUGGCGGCAUGCCUAACACAUGCAAGUCGAACGAUCCCUUCGGGGAUAGUGGCGCACGGGUGCGUAACGCGUGGGAAUCUGCCCUUGGCUUCGGAAUAACAGUUAGAAAUGACUGCUAAUACCGGGUGAUGUCUUCGGACCAAAGAUUUAUCGGCCAGGGAUGAGCCCGCGUAGGAUUAGGUAGUUGGUGAGGUAAAGGCUCACCAAGCCGACGAUCCUUAGCUGGUCUGAGAGGAUGAUCAGCCACACUGGGACUGAGACACGGCCCAGACUCCUACGGGAGGCAGCAGUGGGGAAUAUUGGACAAUGGGCGCAAGCCUGAUCCAGCAAUGCCGCGUGAGUGAUGAAGGCCUUCGGGUCGUAAAGCUCUUUUACCCGGGAUGAUAAUGACAGUACCGGGAGAAUAAGCUCCGGCUAACUCCGUGCCAGCAGCCGCAGUAACAC
rnacentral:rRNA from 1 species